rfam:Ovis aries breed Texel chromosome 12, whole genome shotgun sequence.
UCCCUGGUGGCUUAGAUGGUAAAAGCGUCUGCCUGUAAUGUGGGAGACCUGGGUUCAAUCCCUGGGUUGGGAA